UUCUGUCACGUCUCUUCGCGGUUUCCAUUCGCAAUUCUACUCGGUUCUUGAGGGCUGUAAAAAUGUAUACAACCGACCGAUUAUCCUGGAAACACCGAUCUUACUUACUUACCGUGGAAAAAGAGAUGCCGGACUAAAAAAUGCAUUCCUCGAUGCAGCACGGUAUCUUUUACAUUGAGCGAACGAAUGCUCCGCCCGAAGGAACGAAUGACGCGGCGCGCCGUGCCCCGAUAAUAUACAUUCAAACAUUCGCAUAUAUUUCAUCUCGACAUGAUUUACUGCUGUAUAAAAAGUAUAUUUAGUCUAAAAGGCUAAGAAUUAUUCAGUCAAAUAAAAAGAUAAAGUUGAAAA